CAGUAGCCGCGGUAAUACGGAGGGAGCUAGCGUUGUUCGGAAUUACUGGGCGUAAAGCGCGCGUAGGCGGUUAUUUAAGUCAGGGGUGAAAGCCCGGUGCUCAACACCGGAACAGCCCUUGAGACUGGAUAACUUGAAUCCAGGAGAGGUGAGUGGAAUUCCGAGUGUAGAGGUGAAAUUCGUAGAUAUUCGGAAGAACACCAGUGGCGAAGGCGGCUCACUGGACUGGUAUUGACGCUGAGGUGCGAAAGCGUGGGGAGCAAACAGGAUUAGAUACCCCAGUAGUCCCUGUCUCUUAUAC
rnacentral:rRNA from 1 species